CUCCCUCUCAUUCAUUAUAUCCCUUCUUGUCACUUUCCAUUAGCUGAUCAUGACAUCCUUUGCUGGAAGGGCGAGCAAGCAGAUUACUUCCAAACUGGUGACAGAAGAGCUCCUUGGCACUGGACGCCUCCGGGUCUGGUGAGAGAGGAAUGGUUAGGAGACUGUUCUGAGGAUACACAGACAUCAUCCAAAACUUCCUACAUUCAGAUGAAGAGGUUGGACCAGAGCUUUGCAUGCUUGUUACCUAAGGACGGUUCUGAUCAUGCGAGCAAAUCACAGAAGGGUCCCAUGGGAACAGAAAGUUUUGAGGGAGUUUACUGUUUGUGCAAGAUGACUGGUUGGGUAAAGAAGUCCAAAGUUUUUUAUCUGCAGAACAAACAAAGCCUGGGCAAAGUUUGCCUCGUCUUACAAAGGGAGAUGAGAGUCGUCUUUAAUAAGGGACCCCAGGAAGAAGCCGCAUCGGUCACAUUCUUCUCAAUGCUGCUUUUAUAUUUGAACAAACCAGGGUCAUUUGUGGUGAGGACAAGAGAGCCAGGCAAGGGCUGAGUAGAAUCCCAAGUGCAGCAUGUGGAUUAAGGCAAUACGUGGUGCUCAGAUGAGAAUUUAGAGCAUUGGGAGUGAAUCCAGUCACAGCCAACUCAAGACCGGCUCAGGCCAUCAAUCCAACCAGAUUCCCCUUCUAGGUUCAUUGGUAAGAUCACAAAGAACCGUAAGUCAUGGUGAUAAUUAUGACCCCCUUGAAUUUAACAUUUUUUCAGUAUGUCUUGAAGAUAAGACAAGUGUUAAGCCAAGGAAAUGUAGCAGUCAUAGGCGUCAUUGAAACAAAAGUGGAACAGCAAAACCUCAAAAUCAAACCCAUAUAAGGGAAGUAAAUCCUACAUUUCUUCUUACAGCAUGGAGUAUGCCUUCAAUGAAAAGAAGCUGUAAUUAUUUUGUGGUAGGUACUAAGCGAGGCAUUUUAGAUCACAUUGUUGUGGAUAGCAGCAUUGUGAGAAGGUUGUUAUCCUCAUUUGACAGAUGAAGCAUUAGGAGCUCAAAUGCGUUGAGGACUUUGUGUUUAUGGAUUCCUCAGGGGCUCAUGGUCCAGAGACGAUCAUAAAUCAUCUUGGCUUCAUAAAGUUUUUUGGGUUAUGGAUUCCUGGAGAGAUGGACAGGGGUGUAGUUACCACACUGGGUUUCACCAUGUGGCUGAAGGCCAUGGCUUGAUUAGUUAUUCAUUUUUAUUUUUAUUUUUUGAGACGGAGUUUCGCUCUUUUUACCCAGGCUGGAGUGCAAUGGCACGAUCUCGGCUCACUGCAACCUCUGCCUCCUGGGUGCAGUCAAUUCUCCUGCCUCAGCCUCCUGAGUAGCUGGGAUUACAGACACGUACCACCAUGCCAGCUAAUUUUUUGUAUUUUUAGUAGAGACGGGGUUUCACCAUGUUGACCAGGAUGGUCUCGAUCUCUUGACCUCGUGAUCCACCCGCCUCGGCCUCCCGAAGUGCUGGGAUUACAGUCGUGAGCCAUCGUGCCCGGCCGAUUAGUUAUUUCUUAACACACAUCUCCUAGCUGCCAUUGCAAGCCAGGGGUGUGAGCUCCAGGCAGAGGCAGAGGCAGAGGCAGAGGCUGGCAGGAACUUCCAGAGACUUACUUAGAUUAGCUGUUCUCCCCCUUAACAAUUGCCUUAGGUCCCAUGUGCUUCCAGAGGGAUGGAUGAUCCAGGUGCAAAAUUGCCUGAAGAUGAAGAUACAGAUGGAGGGAAAAUGGAUUGAAUCCAUGGGGAACUUUCUUUGGGAUAUUCUAUGAGCUGGCUGCUCACUCCUUCUCUCAACAAACUAUGGUGCCAUCAAUAAACUAUAAACAUUUACCA
rnacentral:lncRNA from 13 species